rnacentral:rRNA from 1 species
CAUGCAAGUCGAACGGAAAGGCCUCUUCGGGGGUGCUCGAGUGGCGAACGGGUGAGUAACACGUGGGUGAUCUGCCCUGCACUUUGGGAUAAGCCUGGGAAACUGGGUCUAAUACCGGAUAGGACUACGAAUCGCAUGGUUUGUGGUGGAAAGCUUUUGCGGUGUGGGAUGGGCCCGCGGCCUAUCAGCUUGUUGGUGGGGUGAUGGCCUACCAAGGCGACGACGGGUAGCCGGCCUGAGAGGGUGUCCGGCCACACUGGGACUGAGAUACGGCCCAGACUCCUACGGGAGGCAGCAGUGGGGAAUAUUGCACAAUGGGCGCAAGCCUGAUGCAGCGACGCCGCGUGAGGGAUGGCGGCCUUCGGGUUGUAAACCUCUUUCAGCAUCGACGAAGCGGAAGUGACGGUAGAUGCAGAAGAAGCACCGGCCAACUACGUGCCAGCAGCCGCGGUAAUACGUAGGGUGCGAGCGUUGUCCGGAAUUACUGGGCGUAAAGGGCUCGUAGGUGGUUUGUCGCGUUGUUCGUGAAAACUCACA